UACAGAGGUCUCGAGCGUUGUUCGGAUUCAUUGGGCGUAAAGGGCGCGUAGGCGGCGGGGUAAGUCUGGUGUGAAAUCUCGGAGCUCACCUCCGAAAUUGCACUGGAUACUGCUCUGCUAGAGGGCUGGAGAGGAGAUCGGAAUUCACGGUGUAGCAGUGAAAUGCGUAGAUAUCGUGAGGAAGACCAGUGGCGAAGGCGGAUCUCUGGACAGCUCCUGACGCUGAGGCGCGAAGGCUAGGGGAGCAAACGGG
rnacentral:rRNA from 1 species